CCUACGGGCGGCUGCAGUAGGGAAUCUUCCACAAUGGGCGAAAGCCUGAUGGAGCAACGCCGCGUGGGUGAAGAAGGUCUUCGGAUCGUAAAACCCUGUUGUUAGAGAAGAAAGUGCGUGAGAGUAACUGUUCACGUUUCGACGGUAUCUAACCAGAAAGCCACGGCUAACUACGUGCCAGCAGCCGCGGUAAUACGUAGGUGGCAAGCGUUAUCCGGAUUUAUUGGGCGUAAAGGGAACGCAGGCGGUCUUUUAAGUCUGAUGUGAAAGCCUUCGGCUUAACCGGAGUAGUGCAUUGGAAACUGGGAGACUGGAGUGCAGAAGAGGAGAGUGGAACUCCAUGUGUAGCGGUGAAAUGCGUAGAUAUAUGGAAGAACACCAGUGGCGAAAGCGGCUCUCUGGUCUGUAACUGACGCUGAGGUUCGAAAGCGUGGGUAGCAAACAGGAUUAGAUACCCCGGUAGUC
rnacentral:rRNA from 1 species